rnacentral:tRNA from 4 species
GCUCCAAUAGCCCAACUGGCAGAGGCGACAGGCUUAGACCCUGGAGGUUGUGGGUUCGAAUCCCUCUUGGAGUACC